rnacentral:rRNA from 1 species
CAGCAGCCGCCGCGGUAAUACGAAGGGGGCUAGCGUUGCUCGGAAUCACUGGGCGUAAAGGGUGCGUAGGCGGGUCUUUAAGUCAGGGGUGAAAUCCUGGAGCUCAACUCCAGAACUGCCUUUGAUACUGAAGAUCUUGAGUUCGGGAGAGGUGAGUGGAACUGCGAGUGUAGAGGUGAAAUUCGUAGAUAUUCGCAAGAACACCAGUGGCGAAGGCGGCUCACUGGCCCGAUACUGACGCUGAGGCACGAAAGCGUGGGGAGCAAACAGGAUUAGAUACCCGCGUAGUCCCUGUCUCUUAUAC